AGUGAAGCGGGAUGAGCUCAAAUUUAAAAUCUGGCCGGUUUACUGGUCCGAAUUGUAGUUUAAAGAAGCGUUUUCGGUGGCAGCCUGGGUAUAAAUCCUUUGGAAUAGGGUAUCAUAGAGGGUGAGAAUCCCGUCUUUGACUCAGUGCAUGCUACUAUGUGAUACGUUUUCAAAGAGUCGAGUUGUUUGGGAAUGCAGCUCAAAAUGGGUGGUAAAUCUCAUCUAAGGCUAAAUAUUGGCGAGAGACCGAUAGCGAACAAGUACCGUGAGGGAAAGAUGAAAAGAACUUUGAAAAGAGAGUUAAACAGUGCGUGAAAUUGUUGAAAGGGAAACGUUUGACACCAGUCAUGCGGGUGGAAAAUCAGUCUCUUGUAGUGGGGAAGCGUUUUGGUUCAGACCGCAAGGCUGGCCAGGGUGUUCUCUUUGCUGCUGGUGAUGCACUUUUUCAUUUGCAGGCCAACAUCAGUUUCUUCUGCUGGACAAAACCCUAAGAGAAUGUAGCAGCUUAGGCUGUGUUAUAGCUCUGGGGCGAUACAGUGGAGGGGACUGAGGUUUUCGCAGCGUGUGCUCCCGGGCAAGGCGGAUUGGGUGCUAUGGGAUCGUUCGGUGUACAAUGCAUGCAUUUUGCGCCGUGUCUUUUUCAUACUCGCUCAACUCUGCUCUUCCACGCUUAGGAUGUUGGCAUAAUGGUUUUAAACGACC
rnacentral:rRNA from 1 species